rnacentral:rRNA from 1 species
CGCCUCUAGACACAAAAAUUAGAGGUCCAUUCUGCCCUAUGCCCUACGGGGUAAAUGGCCGCGGUAGCCUGACCGUGCUAAGGUAGCAUAAUCAUUUGCCGUUUAAUUGAUGGCUGGAAUGAAUGAAUAUACGUAAGCUCAACUGUCUCCUUUUUACCUAUAAAAAUUGACCUCCAAGUGAAGAGACUUGGAUUGACCAAAAAGACGAAAAGACCCUAUAGAGCUUCACCUGACCUUCACUCGUCCAAGAGAAGGUUUAGUUGGGGCAACUAGAGAGUACCUAAAACCUCUCUUCCAAAAAACCUAUUUAGAUCCGUUACACGAUCAGCAGAGAAAGCUACCUUAGGGAUAACAGGCUAAUCCUCUUUGAGAGACCAUAUUGACAAGAGGGGUUGGCACCUCGAUGUUGGCUCAAGGUUACAGCUUGAUGCAGCAGUCAAGCAUAGUGGGUUUGUUCACCCUUUAAAUCCUU